UACGUAGGGGGCAAGCGUUGUCCGGAUUUAUUGGGCGUAAAGCGCGUGUAGGCGGCCAGGUAGGUCCGUUGUGAAAACUGGAGGCUUAACCUCCAGACGUCGAUGGAAACCGUAUGGCUAGAGUCCGGAAGAGGAGAGUGGAAUUCCUGGUGUAGCGGUGAAAUGCGCAGAUAUCAGGAAGAACACCCGUGGCGAAGGCGGCUCUCUGGGACGGUACUGACGCUGAGACGCGAAAGCGUGGGGAGCGAACAGG
rnacentral:rRNA from 1 species